rfam:Gossypium raimondii Chr04_contig_978, whole genome shotgun sequence.
UUCGAUCCUAGCUGAAGAUGAACGGAAAGUGGUGUUUCUAAUGGCUGACAGGUGAGUAACACGUAAGAACUUGCCAUUAGGAAGGAACAACUGCUAAUACCUCGUAGGUUGAGGAGCAAAAGGAGGAAUUCGUUCAAGGAGGGGUUUGCGUCUAAUUAUCUAGUUGAUGAGGUAAUAGCUUACCAAUGCGAUGAUUAGUAGCUGGUCCAAGAGGAUGAUCAACCACGCUAGGACUAAGACAUGGUCUAGACUUCUACGGGAGGCAAGAGUAGGGAAUUUUCCACAAUGGGUGAAAGCCACCUUAUUGG